UGGAAAUGACAUCAGCCCGAGGUGUUGA
rnacentral:piRNA from 1 species